UACGUAGGGUGCGAGCGUUGUCCGGAAUUACUGGGCGUAAAGAGCUCGUAGGUGGUUUGUCGCGUUGUUCGUGAAAACCGGGGGCUUAACCCUCGGCGUGCGGGCGAUACGGGCAGACUGGAGUACUGCAGGGGAGACUGGAAUUCCUGGUGGUAGCGGUGGAAUGCGCAGAGUAUCAGGAGGAACACCGGUGGCGAAGGCGGGUCUCUGGGCAGUAACUGACGCUGAGGAGCGAAAGCGUGGGGAGCGAACAGG
rnacentral:rRNA from 1 species